GUAACCACACCCCUUCUCCUUUUGAGGCGAGUUCCUGAUUAGCCGGCGCUGUACUCAGCCUUCCUUCUGGUGCUUGCCUUGGGUAUGUCCUUGUCCCUGCAUGUUCAGUGAGGAACCGUACUUCGCCGCUCACCUCGCCGUUCCAUCUGCUUAACCAGUGAGACUCCGUGACCGUGCUGAAGGGCUUGAGAACAAAGGUGCUGCUGUUUUGUUUGGGCCAGAUAGUAGUAGUAUGAUCUGGCAUGUUCACAAGCUAUACCACACUUGUGGUGCAUGCCUGUCUGACUUAUUUCGUUUUCUUUGUUUGUCAUUUUCUUUUGUCUUGAAACCGUGGUAUUGUACUAUCUCUUUGUCAAGCUCUCCAAUGGUGUAAUGCUUCUGUCUUGUGUUUUCUGUUUGCAUGUAACUGUGGAUAAGGCUGGUGGCGUUGUAGCUGUCCUGGUGCAUGUUUGUUAUUUGUUCUGGUCUGUAGUUAAUCUCUAUGAGUGAUUGCUAUUAUUGUCGGAGUGCUUAUGAUGGACUGUUGGUAUCUCCUGGUGCAAUAAUUGUUUUAGUUUUAUUUAUUAAGCAGUUGCUAGGUGCUCCCAGAGGGAGGCACCUGGUGGUGGGCCCCUGUCACUGCAUGCGGGUGUAUCAAGCUGGUUAGUGUGCUGUGCUGUGGGUGUGCCGUGUUGUGCUGUGUGUGCAGUGUGCUGUGGGUUGCUUGCCGUGUAAUAGUUCACCUUACAAUCACUUCUUUGAGUGUGUGUGUGUGUGUGUGUGUGUGUGUGUGUGUGCACGUGUGAGCAGUGUGGAUCCAAGAGCACGCCGUCUGCUAGUCUGCCUCCCUCAGGUUAAAGAUAAAGAGCACAGGAUGCAUCCGCAUUGGAAAACAACAGACAGUUGCUUGAAGAUGAAAUGAAGAAAAGGACACCAAAUGCAGCACUUGUGAAUCAGCUGAUGAACCAGACCUUCUCACUGAGACGCAAAGAAAUCGUCGAAGAGCAGCCUCCUGUGAAACGCAUGUUGGAACGCUGGCCAGCGCUUUUCAGAAAACAGCAGGUUUUUGCAGAGUUCACUAGGGUGGCAAGUAAAAAUCUUGAACUUUUUUGAGUCCUUGGACCGUCAUCCCUCGAUUUCUCAAGAUCUUUAAGUCCAAGAAGGGUGUUAUUGGCAGGACACUUGCAGAGCUCCUUACUCAAGCUGAAAUGAAGACCCAUGAUGUUGUGGCAAGGCGGACAGCUGUCCUACGCUGUCUUGCAGUUUUUCUUGGGGAUGAUGGGAGUGAUUUUUUUCAAAGUUUGUUUUGAUUCAGAUUCCAUCACGGAUUUCACCGAGAUUCCUGUUGGGGUAUUAACCGUCAUACCCGAAGACAGCCCACAACCAAGUCAAAAUGUCCUGCACCUUGAGCCAUCCAGCAUUGCUAUCAUACUGGAAGGUAACAUCGUAAUGGAUGACCUUCAAAAUCAUACUGAAGCUAUUUGCUUGACUUUUGGACUUAUCUACAACCUUCAUUUGGACUAUCCCAGAAGAUUGAAGAACACUUUUGACUUCAUUCAGAGGGUCAUGCUGGAUCUGGGUGUAGGGAACCUUAGGCCAAAACUCCAGAGCUUAAAAAAUGCCCUUUUGCAGUAGGUUGUUCUGAGUUGCUUGAACACACUGAAUUGUUGUACUUUCACGUAAGCCAGAGUUAUGUGUCACAAUUAAUGUCGGGUCAAGAGUGAAUGUUUUGUUUGCCAAUAUUGUAUGUAUGUGCUUCCACAAUUUUGAAAAAUGCCCUUUUGCAGGUUGUUUUGAGUUGCUUGAACACACUGAAUUGUUGUACUUUCACGUAUAUAUUAAGCCAGAAUGGCCAGUUAUGUGUCACAAUUAAUGUCGCCUUAAGAGUGAAUGUUUUGUUUGCCAAAAUUGUAUAUAUAUGUGCUUCCACAAUUUUGAAAAAUGCCCUUUUGCAGGUUGUUUUGAGUUGCUUGAACACACUGAAUUUUUUUGUACUUCCACGUAAUAUAUAUUAAGCCAGAAUGGCCAGUUACAGUACAUGUCACAAUUAAUGUCGCCUUAAGAGUGAAUGUUUUGUUUUGCCAAAAUUGUAUGUGCUUCCACAAAUUGUUAUACUAUGAGAAAAUAAAAAGUAAUACGGCUGACUGAUAA